rnacentral:miRNA from 2 species
GUUCAAGAAAGCUGUGGGAUA